rnacentral:rRNA from 1 species
AACGCGAAGAACCUUACCUGGCCUUGACAUGUACGUAGUAGAAGGGUGAAAGCCUGACGAGGUAGCAAUACCAGCGUACACAGGUGCUGCAUGGCUGUCGUCAGCUCGUGUCGUGAGAUGUUGGGUUAAGUCCCGCAACGAGCGCAACCCUUGUGUCCUGUUGCCACCCCGGCGUAAGCCGGGAGCACUCGGGACAGACUGCCUCGCUUAAACGAGGAGGAAGGUGGGGAUGACGUCAAGUCAGUAUGGCCCUUACGGCCAGGGCUGCACACGUACUACAAUGCCCGGCACAAAGGGAAGCGAGACCGUAAGGUGGAGCAAAUCCCCAAAAACCGGGCCCAGUUCAGAUUGUCGUCUGCAACUCGACGGCAUGAAGCUGGAAUCGCUAGUAAUGGCGCAUCAGCUACGGCGCCGUGAAUACGUUCCCGGGCCUUGUA